rnacentral:rRNA from 1 species
AUUCGCCUACGGGGGGCAGCAGUGAGGAAUAUUGGUCAAUGGUCGGGAGACUGAACCAGCCACGCCGCGUGAGGGAUGAAGGUACAGAGUAUCGUAAACCUCUUUUGUCAGGGAACAAAGGCGGGGACGUGUCCCCGGAUGAGUGUACCUGAAGAAAAAGCAUCGGCUAACUCCGUGCCAGCAGCCGCGGUAAUACGGAGGAUGCGAGCGUUAUCCGGAUUUAUUGGGUUUAAAGGGUGCGCAGGCGGUCUGUUAAGUCAGCGGUCAAAGGCCGGGGCCCAACCCCGGCCCCGCGUUGAAACUGG